GAAGGGUGUGUUAGGUAAAAUGCUGUUCCCACCAUUUCCCCAAGCCUGGCGCCUGAAACAGCGUUACUUCGCGAAAUGUGAAAACCUAGACUCUUUCUCAAGUUCAUCUUAUUUGGUCUGUAAUCAGAUUCCAGACAUAGAUCCGAAGCUGCUACAUUUCUGCCAUUUAUUUAUGUACGGUGCCGACUUGAGGUUACAAUUUUUACUCUGAGUAAGCAAAUUGAUACACAUAAACCAUGGAGGAAGAAACAAGUAAUGAACCCAUCUUAUCUGAUGGUGAAAAUAAUGGAGAAGAUAGAAUUAGCAAUUUACCCGAUUGUUUAAUUUAUCAUAUCUUAUCUUUUCUUGAUAUGACAUAUGUACUCCGAACCAGUGUUUUGGCGAAAAGAUGGAGGUAUUUUUGGACCUCUCUUUCUACUAUAAACCUAGAUUCGGAUUUUUGCAAAUUUUUGGAAAGUGAAGAUGAAAAUUUUAGUUUUGUGGAUAGAGUACUCAUGCUUCGCGACAGCUCUGAUAUAGAAAAAAUUCAUCUUGAUUGGAGUCAGCGUGAUCCUGAAAUUGCAACUCGUGUUAACACAUGGAUCCUUGGUGCCGUAAGUCGUAAUGUUCAAGAUCUCCAUAUUAUCUUGUCUCUAUGGGAAUAUCAAAAGUUUAAGUUUCCUCAAUCCCUCUUCUCUUGUAAGUCGCUGACAAAGUUAAGCUUGGAUCUAGGUCUUAGUUUUGACUCUAUCGUAAGUUUACCUAAAUCAAUGAAUUUUCAUUUACCUAUGCUUAAAUAUUUGAAGCUGUCCGGUCUUUCAAUUUAUAAGAGAGAAUUAACGAAUAAACUCUUCUCUAGCUGCCCAGUUCUGGAAUCUUUGAUCAUAAAAAGAUGUUGUGUCAAUUUGGAUAAUGUGUAUGCUCCUAAACUUAAGUACUUCAAAGUGAAUAGCAAUGAUUAUGGUUCAGAAGAAGGUAACAUGAUCCGGUUAUAUGCUCCAAACCUUACAUCAUUUAUUUGCGGAAGAUGUUUGUCACAUAAUUAUGCCCUAGAGAGCCUUUCUUCUCUUGUAACUGCUGAUUUUAGGAUGACGUUACUAGACAAUGAUGAGGAAUAUGAUUCCUAUCUAAUGGAUUCUGCUGAGUGCAAAAAACACGUUUCGCAAAGUAUGAUGAACUUGCUGAGAGGAAUUCGUAAUGUGAAAGAUUUAAUUUUACCAGAAUGCUUCCUUCAAGUUAUCUCAGGUUAUCUCAGGAGCUUCUAAAUUAUUUGAAUGUCAACCACCUCAGUUAUCUAAUUUACGAAUUUUGGAGUUACAAACAUACCUUCGAAAAAACUGCUUUCCUGCAAUAGCGUAUUUACUCAAGAUUUCUCCUAAACUUGAAUCCCUUUACAUCCAAAUAAACAAGGAUUAUUCAGACGAGCCUCUAGUAUAUCCAUUCUUUGAUGAGAUAAUUUCUGAUCCACAAAAUGUAGGAGAUGAUUGGGAAACAGAAGUAUCACUGCCAUGCAUGAUGCAUCACCUGAAGUUUGUUAAGCUUAUACCUGUCCAAGGUCGCAUUAAUGAACUCAAGUUUCUGGAGCUUUUGCUAAGGAAUGCAGCAGUCUUGGAAAGAGUGAUUCUUUGCUGUGAGUGGGGUCCUGGUAAGACAACGACACGGUUGACGAAUUUCUGUGAGAAGCUACAUACAUUUUCAAGAGUGUCUUCAGCUGUCACAUUUAUGUGCUUCUAAGAGGGUGGUAAGGUGGGAGGGAGUGAAGGCCCAAGCAAUGGUCAUCAGUCACUGUGUGUCUAUCUGCCUAACUUCUAAGAGCUUCCUUCAGCCCAGGCUCUGUUCCUGUGUUUUUAAGUUUUUCUGCGGGAAAAGUUCACUCUCUUUAUUCUUCUUUUUUAAUGAAUCUAGUGGGUUUCAGUUUAUGGUUUGACAUCUCUUGGUGAUGGUCAAUAACCUGGAAUAGAUCAUAUUUCGUGUUUCCUCUUACUGCUCCGAGACAAUACACAUAGGAUAUGUUCCUUGGUUAAAAGGUUAAAGGUUUUCUUCAGUUCCGUAUU